rnacentral:rRNA from 1 species
ACCCGGAGAUAGCUGGUUCUCCUCGAAAUAGCUUUAGGGCUAGCCUCGUAUUAGUCUAGUGGAGGUAGAGCACUGAAUUUCCUAGGGGGCGUCAAAGCUUACCGAAGAAUAUCAAACUCCGAAUGCCAUAUAGAUGAUGUACGGGAGUCAGACUGCACGAGAUAAGUUGGGCAGUCAAAAGGGAAAGAGCCCAGACCUACAGCUAAGGUCCCAAAGUGUGUGUUAAGUGGAAAAGGAUGUGGGAUUUCGAAGACAACUAGGAUGUUGGCUCAGAAGCAGCCAUACAUUAAAAGAGUGCGUAAUAGCUCACUAGUCGAGAGGUCCUGCGCCGAAAAUGUCCGGGGCUGAAACACAACACCGAAGCUGCGGAACCCGCAAGGGUUGGUAGAGGAGCAUUCUUAAAGGAACGAAGCAGUACCGUAAGGAGCUGUGGACUUUUAAGAAGAGAGAAUGCCGGAAUGAGUAGCGAGAGUAAGGUGAGAAUCCUUACGGCCGAAUAUCCAAGGUUUCCAGGGUAAAGCUGAUCUGCCCUGGGGAAGUCGGGACCUAAGGCGAGGCCGAGAGGCGUAGCCGAUGGACAACAGGUUGAGAUUCCUGUACUACAGUAUGACAGAACUGUGGGGACGCAGAAGGAGAGCACUACCUGGAAUGGAAUCCAGGGGCAAGCACAGGAGGGGUACGGCUGGAAAAACCGCCGUGCAACCCAAAGGUGUGACGCAUACCGAACUAAAGUAGGGAAAUGUGUGAGCCGGCUGCCGAGAAAAGCCGCUAUUGUUUGUACUGUACCCGUACCGUAAACCGACACAGGUGGAUGAGGAGAGAAUCCUAAGGCCGACGGAAGAAGCAUUGCUAAGGAACUCGGCAAAAUGACCCUGUAACUUCGGGAGAAAGGGUGCCUCGAAAGAGGCCGCAGAGAAUAGGCCCAAGCAACUGUUUAGCAAAAACACAGGUCUAUGCAAAACCGCAAGGUGAAGUAUAUGGGCUGACGCCUGCCCGGUGCUGGAAGGUUAAGGGGAGAUGUCAGGAGACGAAGCAUCGAACUUAAGCCCCAGUAAACGGCGGCCGUAACUAUAACGGUCCUAAGGUAGCGAAAUUCCUUGUCGGGUAAGUUCCGACCCGCACGAAAGGCGUAAUGAUUUGAGCGCUGUCUCGACAAUGCAUCCGGUGAAAUUGAAGUACCAGUGAAGAUGCUGGUUACCCGCGCCAGGACGGAAAGACCCCAUGGAGCUUUACUCCAGCUUGAUACUGGGAUUCGGUAUUGUAUGUACAGGAUAGGUGGGAGGCUUUGAAGUGGUUACGCCAGUAGCCAUGGAGCCGCUGUUGGGAUACCACCCUUGCAGUACUGGGUUUCUAACCAGCAGCCGUGACCCGGCUGGGGGACAAUGUCAGGUGGGGAGUUUGACUGGGGCGGUCGCCUCCGAAAGGGUAUCGGAGGCGCUCAAAGGU